rnacentral:rRNA from 1 species
GACGAACGCUGGCGGCGUGCUUAACACAUGCAAGUCGAACGCGCCUGUCCUCUGGGUUUCUGGGGGGUGGGUGAGUGGCGAACGGGUGAGUAACACGUGAGUAACCUGCCCCCUUCUUCGGGAUAACGGUCUGAAAGGGCUGCUAAUACCGGGUAUUCACUGGUCUCCGCAUGGGGUCUGGUGGAAAGGUUUUUUUCUGGUGGGGGAUGGGCUCGCGGCCUAUCAGCUUGUUGGUGGGGUGAUGGCCCACCAAGGCUUUGACGGGUAGCCGGCCUGAGAGGGUGACCGGUCACAUUGGGACUGAGAUACGGCCCAGACUCCUACGGGAGGCAGCAGUGGGGAAUAUUGCACAAUGGGCGCAAGCCUGAUGCAGCGACGCCGCGUGAGGGAUGGCGGCCUUCGGGUUGUGAACCUCUUUCGCCCGUGGUCAAGCCGCGACGUGGGUCGUGGUGAGGGUAGUGGGUAAAGAAGCGCCGGCUAACUACGUG